UGCGUCUGAUUAGUUAGUUGGUGAGGUAACGGCUCACCAAGGCGACGAUCAGUAGGGGGUCUGAGAGGAUGAUCCCCCCACACUGGUACUGAGAUACGGACCAG
rnacentral:rRNA from 1 species